rnacentral:lncRNA from 15 species
UUUAGCCACUGCUGUGAUGAGCUGACGAUCUCUGGAAACGCUUUAAAACGUGAUGAGACAACUUGGCUCACUUCUUAAGACCCUUGGUAUGCUGGUACAACGAGGUGGAGUCAAAAUUUGAAGUGUAAAUAUGGUUUAAAUGUGUAAACAGACCAGCCGUGAUUUUGCUAGCUAAAAACAAGGAGGUGAAUGAGGUCAUUUUAGUUACUACUUUUCUGAGGGCUGGCGAUCUCUCACAAUGUAUUUAAUCUUUAAACAGACUACCUGAUUAUCUUCCUUAGACCCUGUAGAUGUAGUUACUACAGUUUGAAGUCAAAAUUCAAAGUGUAAAUAUGGUUUAAAUGUGUAAACAGGACGCCUGAUGUUGAAUGUAUGUUAAUGAAUGGGCACAGUAUCAUUGAGUACAGUAAUAGACUGUCAGUAGGAUGUAAACAGUGCAUGUGUAGCAGAUUACUGACUUAAAUCUUAUUUCUUGUCUUUCUAGAAAAUGCAGCCUAUUUUCCGCUUUGAGGCAAACCUUGACCUGACCCUGCGGGCCUCUCAGGAGGCGCUGGCCUUGAGCCGCCGCCAGAGGGGGGCCUCUGCCUCUGCCACUGCCCUGGUGGUGGUUAAGACCCCUGAGCUGGUGCGCUCUGAGGCAAGAGACAGGGUGGUGCAGAAGGGAGGUAACCCCACCGAUCACCAUCAGGUGCUGGCCGAGAGCGAGCUGCAGCUCGGCCAGUACCGUGGUCAGACGUUCCGGUGGCUGCUGGAGAAUGACGUGGGAUACGCAGUCACCAUCUGUGUGUCCCACGAGGGAGAGAGAGACAAAGGGGGCACUAGUCAGCAGAAUGCCCUCAUGGUGCACAAAGACGCCCUCGUCUCCUACGCCAGGCUGUUCCCGCCGAUGGUGGCAGCCAUCGACAGGCGUAGGAUGCUCGAGGGCAGUCCCCAGACCAUGAGGGGCGUGGACGACACGCUGGUGGGGUUCGGUGUUCAUAGUGACCUGACCUACAAGACCCUGUACGAGUCGACGGACCGUGAGCGGGCAAGCUAUGUACAGUUUGUGAGGCAGGCGGCACCCACAGCCAAAGCGUCCAGGUUGGUGGACUUAAAAAAAUAUGUGCAGGCCCGGGAUGCAGAGAAGGCAGCCCUGGCAGCACAACCACCACAACCACCCCUGGACGCUGUUGGUCCCCAGGAUGGACCCUCGGAUGCUGACCUGCUCGCUGCCGCCAUGGAGCCGUGCCCCCCUUCUCUCUCUCCCAGCCACCGGAACGUCCCCUUCAGGACAACACCUGUGGGGAGAGGUCAGGCCCCGGCGCACAGGUAUGCUCAGUGAUGACAUAUUGUGUUGUAGUGUGUGUGUGUGUCUGUGUUCAGUACACUAACGGUCUGACACUGCUGUGUGUUUCAGCUGCUACCACGUGGCUGGAGGCUGACGCUCCCCGAAGAGCAGCACGACUGGGUGGGCCGGGCACUGUUCAGGAGGGCACCCAACGGGCAGGGUGUCCUCACAUCUGAACUCCGCCUGUGGUGGCACCCACCAGGUGCCUGGCCCCUCUACACCCAGCCACCCGCCACAGCCCACCCCUUUUUCCAGAGUCCCUUUUUCCUGUGGGUGCCCUACAGGAUGUGGGCGUACCACCUCCGCUGCCCCAUCGUCGCCUGUGGGGGCAAGCUUGCGGGAGCUGGCCUCUACAAGACGGUGAGGAGGGUCUUGGACAGGAGCUGCUGGUACUUCAUGGGCACGGAGUACCUGGAAUGCAGCUCCUGUCACAAGAAGAUGCCGGGAUGGUCGCAGGACAUCUUGGGACAGCUGGACAUGGCCCAUCGUGAGCAGUUUCCAGCAGUUCUCACGUACAAGUAAGUAAUGUAAACAGUAACAGCAACAGUAAUGUAUUUCUGUGGUUUUCUCCAGUAACCUCUGAUCACCUCUUUCCCCUCCCGGUUGUCCUGGACAGAGCUGUGAUCGGGCUCAUGAAGGAGCGCACUUUGGGCAACAGUGCGUCUCGCCUCCGUGCCUCUCUGGUGGAGCAGCACACCAGAGAGUGGAUGGCGCGGUCGAUGCUGUACCUUUCCGUGCUCCGCAAGCUUCGGGUACCGGGCGCUGCGCCGCUGGCGGCGUCGUCGCUCCCAACCAUGCACCCGGUGCCCACAGUGCUCUGGCUCAUCAACGUCUACGUCAGGGACGCCUUGACGAGGCUCGACGAGACGAGAGCCAGAGUCACUUCCAUCUUCACCUGUG